UCCGAUUGGCCAUACACUAAGCUAUUUUGUCCAGCAAUGAAAAGGUACAUGGGCCAUAGAAAUAAUAUUAGUUGGACGAGUCAACUUGUUCUUGCGUGACCAAGUAGAUUAAUAUUUUAUUCUGUAGUUUUUCUCUUCGUCAUUCUCAGGUAAAUUAAAGUGUCGAUCCAUGGGCGUAGCUGUCACAUAACUGCAAAUAUCCAACUUAGUGGUCCACUGUUAGAGGGUUCCUUCGACUGGAUACACACCCAAACACUCUAACAUGUUAAAUGACCGUGACCACUAAGAACAUUCUUAGACAAACCAUUGGGGACCUUCACUCUAUGAUAACCACUGAUUUGCUUCAGUUGAAUCGAAGAUUAACUUAUCUUCUUUAAAGAUCAGAAAUUGUUCGCUACACAAUUAAAAGUUUGCUUAAGUUUCAUGUAAGAAACACGAAUCUCUUCAGAGAUUUCAAGAAAAGGAAAGGAUGAUCCUAAGACUAGAAGA